GACGAACGCUGGCGGCGUGCCUAACACAUGCAAGUCGAGCGAAUGAAGUUCUUUCGGGGAUGGAUUUAGCGGCGGACGGGUGAGUAACACGUGGGCAACCUGCCUCAUAGAGGGGAAUAGCCUUCCGAAAGGGAGAUUAAUACCGCAUAAGAUUGUAGUAUCGCAUGAUACAGCAAUUAAAGGAGCAAUCCGCUAUGAGAUGGGCCUGCGGCGCAUUAGCUAGUUGGUGAGGUGACGGCUCACCAAGGCGACGAUGCGUAGCCGACCUGAGAGGGUGAUCGGCCACAUUGCGACUGAGACACGGCCCAGACUCCUACGGGAGGCAGCAGUGGGGAAUGUUGCACAAUGGGGGAAACCCUGAUGCAGCAACGCCGCGUGAGUGAUGACGGCCUUCGGGUUGUAAAGCUCUGUCUUCAGGGACGAUAAUGACGGUACCUGAGGAGGAAGCCACGGCUAACUACGUGCCAGCCGCCGCCGUAA
rnacentral:rRNA from 1 species